UACAGAGGUGGCAAGCGUUGUUCGGAAUUACUGGGCGUAAAGGGCGCGUAGGCGGUUCGAUAAGUCCCGUGUGAAAUCCCUCGGCUCAACUGAGGAAUGGCACGGGAAACUGACGGGCUUGAGUUCGGGAGAGGGAAGCGGAAUUCCGGGUGUAGCGGUGAAAUGCGUAGAUAUCCGGAGGAACACCGGUGGCGAAGGCGGCUCCUGGACCGACACUGACGCUGAGGCGCGAAAGCUAGGGGAGCAAACGGG
rnacentral:rRNA from 1 species